rnacentral:snRNA from 1 species
AACCCUUGUAAUCAAACAUGUACUAUGGAAAUAAAAAAUCUGUUCUUAUCAGCUUAAUAUCUGAUACGUCCCCUACAUGGGGACCAGAAUAUUAAACUGAUUUUUGAACAUUGGCGGGGUUACUGGAGCUUGCUCCUGCCCUGCCGCGGGUUGGCCUGGCAUUGCACUACAGCCAGGAUCGGCCCAUUUUAU